GCAAGUUGAACGGUAACAUGUUGUAGCAAUACGAUGAUGACGAGUGGCGCACGGGUGCGUAACACGUGUGUAACCUACCUUAUACAGGAACAUAACGUUGAGAAAUCGGCGCUAACAUUCCAUAAUAUUAUUUGUAGGCAGUCUAUGAAUAAUUAAAACUCCGGUGGUAUAAGAUGGGCACGCGUUCCAUUAGCUAGUUGGUAAGGUAACGGCUUACCAAGGCAACGAUGGAUAGGGGUUCUGAGAGGAUAAUCCCCCACACUGGAACUGAGACACGGUCCAGACUCCUACGGGAGGCAGCAGUAAGGAAUAUUGGGCAAUGGAGGCAACUCUGACCCAGCCAUGCCGCGUGCAGGAAGACGGCCCUAUGGGUUGUAAACUGCUUUUAAUAGGGAUUAAAGUCGACUACGUGUAGUUGUUUGCAAGUACCUAUAGAAUAAGCAUCGGCUAACUCCGUGCCAGCAGCUGC
rnacentral:rRNA from 1 species